UGAAGGUGGUGCAGCCAAAGGCCAGCUGCAGUACCCGGGCUGUGCCCACUGGGGAUGUCACAGCACCCAGGUGCAGGUAUGCACCCCCGGGGGGCUCCACGGUGCUCCCCAUCUGGCCAGCCACCUCUUGGCUUCACGCAGUGCCCCACAGCCCUGGGGUUCCUGAUGGCCUGGGGGCCCUCUGUCCUCUGCAGUAGUGACAGGUGCCGGCAGCCUGCAGCAGCGGUGACGAUGGUGACAUUGCAGCAGGGCAGCCUCUCUGCUGCCUGAGUGGUGAGCGCCCCCCUCCCUGCAGCUAUAAAUAGACAACCUCCAUCAGAGCCCCGGAAUAGCAGCCUGUGUGCCUGUCCACGUCCAGGAGGAGCAUCUGACCCCUUCGUCCCACGCAGAUUCUCUGCUGGGACGUUAACCCCUGGACUGCCUGAGCACCUGCACCCUUCAGUCCGUUUUCGGCAGACACAACAUCUUUGUUUGUAUGUGGUGCUGAGGAUCGAACCCGGGCCGCACGCAUGCCAGGGACCCUAGGGUCAGAGGAGCUGUCACAGGACCCAAAGAAAAAGGUCUCUCUGUCUCUGUGUGGUUAUGUGGUGCAGCCCAGUUCACCUGGAGUGACCCUGAGUGUUUAGUUGUGAAAUGAGACAGUUCUCGGCGCCUCUGCUUGUUCUUUGGACUUUAUAAUUUUUUUUUCCAAAAUAAAUCAGAUACUUUCUAAACUACUAUAAAGAAGACUAGUUUUAAAAAUUGUCAACUAUAAAAAAUUGUCAUGCUUUAAAACUUAAAAGCUAAUGCAUAUUCUUGUAUGAAUAAAAAAAAAAACUUGCCUUUACAAAAUUUGUGCUUUAAAAAUCGUUUUUUGUACUUGUAGAUGGACAGAAUGACUUUGUUUUGUUUAUUUUUAUGCAAUGCUGAGGAUCAAACCCAGUACCUCACACACGCCAGGCAAGCGCUCUGCCACUGAACUAUAACCCCAGACCCAAAAUUUUCUGUUACAAAAAUUUAAGUUUCUUUCUUUCUUCUCAUUCUCCUUCUAUUUUUCCUUUGUGCCAGGAAUUCAACAUUCAACCCAGGGCCGCUUUACCACUGAGCCACAUCCCCAGUCCAUUUUUUAAAUUUUUGAAUCAGGGUGUUGCUAAGUUGCUAGGCUGGACUGGAACUUGUGAUCCUCCUGCCUCAGCCUCCUGAGUGGCUGGGAAUACAGGCAUGUGCCACUAUACUCAGAGUUUCUUUUUUUAGAACUAUUUUAUUUUGUGGUCCUGAGGAUUGAACCCAAAUGCUCUAAUACUGAGGCACAUCCCCAGCUGUUUUGAUUUUAUUUAUUUUAAUAUUUAUUUUUUAGGUGUAGAUGGACACAACACAAGGCCUGUAUUUUUCUGUGGUGCUAAGGAUCAAACCCGGGUCCUGCCCGCACUCUAUGCUGAGCCACAAUCCCAGCCCUUUUUUUUUAAAUUUUAUUUUGAGACAGACUCUUGCUAAGUUGCCCAGGGUGGCCUUGAACUUGUGAACUUCCUGCCUUGGCCUCCCAAGUCUCUGGGAUCAUACCACCCAGCAAUAUAUUAUUCUUUUCUCUCAUUCUAAUUAACAUUUUCACUAAGUGAAUCUUUCCCUGUGAUUGCACAGUGCCCUACCUUGCUCUAGGCAUUGAGAAACAGACGUGGAGAAAGGAGCCAAAAGUCCUCAUAACUUGGGCCACAAAAGAGGCAAUCGUGGACUGCAAUGUGUUGCAUAGAGACUCCUGAUGAGAUGAGAACGUGGGGCCACUGUGAGGAGGUGACCACAGGAGCUCAGUGAGAAGGCCGGCCCAGUGUGGGGCUGAAAUGUGUCACGGAUGUCGACGUGGAGCUCAGAUCCCACUGUCAGGCUCCUGAACAGUGAAGGUGCGACUCUGGCCAUUCCUGGUGGAGAGGAGAGGCCCAGGUGUGGGUGCCUGUCCUGAGCGUUGCUGCUCCUACAGAAAGUGUGAGACCCCAGCAUGUCUAGAAAGGCUGAGCGCCUAGGGUCUCUGCAAACCUACUGUGCUGUCUCCUUUGGCUGCUGGGACUCCAUGGAUUUCUGCAGGAAGCCAUGUAGGGUGGCCCACGGAGGAGACCUGAGGAAGUGGACUUUGGUGACGAAAGGCCCACAUGGGUCAGGGCAAGGCCUCAGUGUGCUUUGGCCGGACUUAGCAGGGCUACAUCUGCCAGGGCAACACUAGCAGCUGUGGUCCUACUCAGUGCUUCUCAGAGUCAGGGUUGCCUUGAGUUGUUGGCAUGUUAGACCCCUAAGAAAGUCAGGGUCCACAUGGCUGUCCCCACUUUUGGAAUGGAGCUGUAGGUUCCUGAUGUGUGUGGUUGGGAGCCAGAUACAGAGCUCAGGUUGAGCUGUCUCAGGGCCUCUCUAGAGCUUAGGAUAGAACCCGCCCGGCAGGAAGUAGGAGCACUGUCACCUGGAUUCACAUAGAUGGCUUUGCUCAGGAAUUCAGCCCAUGAGGCCCAAGGUCAGUGUUGCUACCACCAACUGUGGCACCAUCAAAACCCCUCCCUAGGGCUGGGUCGUGGCUCCGUGGCUUAACGCGCUGGGUUCCAUCCUUAGCACCACAUAAAACCCAACAAACAAACAAACAAAAAAACUCUCCUCCCUAGGCAAGUGCAGUGGCCCACACCUGUAAUCCCAGCAGCUCGGGAGGCUGAGGCAGGAGGAUCAUGCAUUCAAAGCCAGCCUCAGCAACUUAGGCCCUAUCUAUAAAUAAAACAAAAACAGGCUGGAGUGUAGCUUGGUGUUCAAGUCCAAGUUCAGUCCCCAGGGCCAAAACAGAAAUAAAAAAAUCUCUCUUCUCUGCCUAUGUCCCAACAAUCCUGCUUCUGUGGUUAACGUAAGUGACUGCUUGCCCCCACACUAAGCAAUGUAGACACAAAGCUGUCCACACAUGUCCUUUGCACCCAGUGAGUGUGUGAGACACAAAGCCUGUUGUAGGACCAGGAACAUCUCCCAUCUGAAGCUGUCCUUGUGUCCAAGAUAGUGAGGGGUGGAAACAGCCGGAACAGAAAAUGCACGUAUUUGCUCUUGGAAGUGAAGCAAGGUGGGGAGGGGGCGACUUCACCCUCACAGUUUUGUACCUUUCAAAUUUUUAGCUAUAUGACUGAGUGACAUAGUAAUAAAUAAAUAAAAAUGCAGAAACUUCUCAGAAAAUGUUAGCUGGGUAGGGAAUGGUACUUCUGCAGUGGUAUGUUUUCAAACUAGACAAAGCUGGCCUUGCACAACACUGAAGGUGCUGAUGCCAUCGUCACUGUGAAAAAGCUCAUGCUACUGAUUUAUUUUUGUACUGGGGAUUGAACUCAGGAACACUGUAUCACUGAGCCGCACCCCCCGCCCUAGUCCUUUUGAGACAGGGUUUUUUAAGUUGCCUAAGCGGGCCUCAAACUUGGGAUCCUCUUGCCUCAGCCUCCCAAGUCACUGGAUUACAGGCAUGUGCCCCCGUGCCUGGCUGAUGUUAUUUUCUUACUGUGUGAGGAGCCACUCUGAAUGACCCACAUCUUCCAGUCCUGGAGCAAGAAGCUCUGUCCAGGCACUACAUUUGUGGUGACUUGGGCGUUGUCUGAGCUCCGGUAAAGGCACGUCUUCAGGUGUAGGUAUCAUCCUCAGGGUCGAGUUACACUCAUCUGACCCUGGUAACCCUGCCCCUUCUGACCUUUUUUGGAUGAAACUUUCUAAGAACUAGAGUCCCCCCAAUAAACACUCACUUCCGAACGUGCUCGCUCUCUCUCGCCAGCCUCUCUGGACUUUCUCUUGCUCUCCCUCUUGGGGGGCCUGAGGCCGAGAGUGGAGAAGCCGCCCUGAAGCUUGUGUAAAGUAAAGUGUGUCUGUGUUUUGUUUAGUGUCCCUGCAGAUUCACAGAGUGACCUGAAGGUCAGCUGCCCGCGUGGGCCAGGGGUGGCAUUACUGGACUUUAUUCCAAUUAAAAAAAAAAUAUGGAAAACCUGUGAGCCAUCGUUGUCAAUGUCAGAGAGUCGGGAUUUGCUGAAUGAACAGAGACUCCUCAGGGGUGGAACAAGACUGAGGUGGAGUGGGGGCCACUGAGCACACAAGAAGGGGUCAGUGGUUGUGACCCCCAAGCCCUUCCCAGCCCCUUGUGCCCUUAAGGUGCGAGUUGAGUAGAGCCACCCUUCAAAUAACCAGGUCGAAGCGUGAGCUUCUUUC